rnacentral:rRNA from 1 species
CCUACGGGAGGCAGCAGUGAGGAAUAUUGGUCAAUGGUCGGGAGACUGAACCAGCCAAGCCGCGUGAGGGAUGACGGUACAGAGUAUCGUAAACCUCUUUUGUCAGGGAACAAAGGCGGGGACGUGUCCCCGGAUGAGUGUACCUGAAGAAAAAGCAUCGGCUAACUCCGUGCCAGCAGCCGCGGUAAUACGGGGGAUGCGCGCGUUAUCCGGAUUUAUUGGGUUUAAAGGGUGCGCAGGCGGUCUGUUAAGUCAGCGGUAAAAGCCCGGGGCUCAACCCCGGCCCGCCGUUGAAACUGGCAGUCUCGAGUUGGAGAGAAGUAGGCGGAAUGCGCGGUGUAGCGGUGAAAUGCAUAGAUAUCGCGCAGAACUCCGAUUGCGAAGGCAGCAUGCCGGCUCCACACUGACGCUGAGGCACGAAAGCGUGGGUAUCGAACAGGAUUAGAUACCCGAGUAGUC